rnacentral:rRNA from 1 species
AUUGAACGCUGGCGGCAGGCCUAACACAUGCAAGUCGAACGAGUGGCGGACGGGUGAGUAAUGUCUGGGAAACUGCCUGAUGGAGGGGGAUAACUACUGGAAACGGUAGCUAAUACCGCAUACCAUCGGAUGUUCCCAGAUGGGAUUAGCUAGUAGGUGGGGUAAAGGCUCACCUAGGCGACGAUCCCUAGCUGGUCUGAGAGGAGGACAAGCCACACGGGAACUGAGAAACGGUCCAGAGGCUUACGGGAGGCAGCAGUGGGGAAUAGUGCACAAUGGGCGGAAGCCUGAUAGAGCCAUGCCGCGUGUAUGAAGAAGGCCAUCGGGUUGUAAAGUACUUUCAGCGGGGAGGCGUUACCCGCAGAAGAAGCAACGGCUAACUCCGUGCCAGCAGUCGCGGUAAUUC